GACGAACGCUGGCGGCGUGCUUAACACAUGCAAGUCGAACGGAAAGGCCCUGCUUUUGUGGGGUGCUCGAGUGGCGAACGGGUGAGUAACACGUGAGUAACCUGCCCUUGACUUUGGGAUAACUUCAGGAAACUGGGGCUAAUACCGGAUAGGAGCUCCUGCUGCAUGGUGGGGGUUGGAAAGUUUCGGCGGUGGGGGAUGGACUCGCGGCUUAUCAGCUUGUUGGUGGGGUAGUGGCUUACCAAGGCUUUGACGGGUAGCCGGCCUGAGAGGGUGACCGGCCACAUGGGGACUGAGAUACGGCCCAGACGCCUACGGGAGGCAGCAGUGGGGAAGAGUGCACAAUGGGCGGAAGCCUGAUGCAGCAACGCCGCGUGCGGGAUGACGGCCUUCGGGUUGUAAACCGCUUUCGCCUGUGACGAAGCGUGAGUGACGGUAAUGGGUAAAGAAGCACCGGCUAACUACGUG
rnacentral:rRNA from 1 species